AACGUAGGACACGAGCGUUAUCCGGAGUUACUGGGCGUAAAGGGCGAGUAGGUGGUGCGAUAAGACUGGUGUGAAAGCCUUCGCCUUAACCGAGGGAGGACACUGGUGACUGUCGGACUUGAGGCAGAUAGAGGGGUGUAGAAUUCCGGGUGUAGUGGUGAAAUGCGUAGAGAUCCGGAGGAAUACCAGAGGCGAAGGCGGCACCCUGGGUCUGACCUGACACUGAUCCGCGACAGCAUGGGGAGCGAACGGG
rnacentral:rRNA from 1 species